AACGAACGCUGGCGGCAGGCUUAACACAUGCAAGUCGAACGCUCCGCAAGGAGAGUGGCAGACGGGUGAGUAACACGUGGGAACGUACCCUUUACUACGGAACAACUCCGGGAAACUGGAGCUAAUACCGUAUGUGCCCUUUGGGGGAAAGAUUUAUCGGUAAAGGAUCGGCCCGCGUUGGAUUAGCUAGUUGGUGGGGUAAGGGCCUAUCAAGGCGACGAUCCAUAGCUGGUCUGAGAGGAUGAUCAGCCACAUUGGGACUGAGACACGGCCCAAACUCCUACGGGAGGCAGCAGUGGGGAAUAUUGGACAAUGGGCGCAAGCCUGAUCCAGCCAUGCCGCGUGUGUGAUGAAGGCCUUAGGGUUGUAAAGCACUUUCACCGGAGAAGAUAAUGACGGUAUCCGGAGAAGAAGCCCCGGCUAACUUCGUGCCAGCCGCCGCAGUAA
rnacentral:rRNA from 1 species